AUUUUCCUUCCACCCCGCUUUGAACUGAAAAGCGAUUGCCCAUUGGUUCUCAUUUUCCACAUAUCUCAAACUUUGAGGUUUCAGUUAUCCAUUCCCCUUGAUUUCUCCGGCGACUGGAAAACGAAGCAGAUGAAGAGAUCGUCGAGCGCCUCUGUAGUCUCGGAUAGGGGAUUUGUAGGUCCAUCGUUGUCGUCGUCGCAAUCCGUAAUCUUCAGAUCUUCGAGUGUGAGUUCCGGCUUGGAAUCAGAGCCUUACCUGCCGACGUUCAAUCCGUUCUCUCAUGCGGCCGAGAAAAAACGUCGCCAUCUUAAGCUCGCUAAGAUUUUCGUCCACUCCAUCCCUUUCAUCAUCGUCUUUUGCGCCAUUGUUCUGUGGUUAUUCUCCGAUCCAGGUGAAUAUAUCAGGAGCUUCAACUCAAUUGCUGUCUCUCUUCCUUUCCUUGUACUGCAGUCUGCAAUAGUGUAACUUCACUUUUUGGUGAAUGUAAAACUCUAAACCUCCGGUACUCAUCUAGGAACAGCUGUUGAAGAUUUAGUUACGUAACAAUGCCUAAAAGGUCUUAGAACUCAAGAAGGCACUACCUCAGGUAGCAUCAUUCUAUUUUAGAGUUGUUCUCCUUCUUAGCUACCAUGGCAGCAAGUGAAGUCGCCCUUUUAUGAGAUGUUCUUAGCAUUUAGACAAGUCAUUAUGCUAUGUGUUAGUGAAUAGUGAUGUUAUCUAUUUCACCUCCUGGCUACUGCGUGGUUUGAUAAGAAGGCACUUGAAGAGUGCACCCAUAUUCUUCUCUGACUUGAAUAGUUGUUUUUUUUUAAGCAAAAUAAUUGGGACUGUCAAUAAGCGUUUAGACCAUGGUUGGUGGGAUUCUAUUUAGGAUUUAAUAUCCUAAGAAUAUCCAUGACGACCCGAUGUAUUAGAGGCAAAUAAUUGUCUCGUAAGAAUAUUUGAGGUACAUGUAAACUAGCUCAGGCACUUAUGGAUAUGAAGGAAAAAACAGUAGUGUCAAUAUAAGUUUACAUGGAUAUGUUCAUGAACAGUUGAAAAAUCUUGAAUUGAUAUUUAAUGUGAAGCUUAAGCAGAGCCUGCUACUUUCA